GUUUUUUUCCUUCACAUUCUCCUUCAGGAUGCUUCUCAGCUGCUUCAGAUAUUACAGAGUCUCCAUCCUCCUUUGAAAAUUGAUGGCAAAACUAUUGGGGUUGAUUUUGCAAAAAGUGCCAGAAAAGACUUGGUCCUCUCAGAUGGUAACCGCGUCAGCGCCUUCUCUGUAGCUAGUACGGCUAUUGCUGCUGCUCAGUGGUCAUCCACCCAGUCUCAAAGUGGUGAAGGAGGCAGUGUUGACUACAGUUAUCUGCAACCAGGUCAAGAUGGCUAUGCCCAAUAUGCUCAGUAUUCACAGGAUUAUCAGCAGUUUUAUCAACAACAAGCUGGAGGAUUGGAAUCUGAUGCAUCAUCUGCAUCAGGCACAGCAGUGACCACCACCUCAGCGGCUGUAGUGUCCCAGAGUCCUCAGCUGUAUAAUCAAACCUCCAAUCCACCUGGCUCUCCGGUAAUCCUGUUGUCCUAUAUACAAAACUCGUGGCUGAUGGGGAAAUUUUGUUUUGCUAUACAAGUAUUACCCUUUCCUGUUGUAUGAGCCAGGAUUGAGUAAUACACACUUCAACCUUAUUUCUUUCUGUUGUUU
rnacentral:sRNA from 1 species